ACUGUCAGUGAUGAUUAUGUUAAAAUCGUUUAAUUGAAAUUUUAAUGAAAAUGAUUUACAUGCACCACCAUCUGAGACAGA